rnacentral:pre_miRNA from 1 species
GCUCGAUCGCUACGUAGCGACCGAGCGAGACGGACGCUCGAUCUCUACGUAGCGACCGAGCUUGGCUCGGGCUCGGUCGCUACGUAGCGACCGAGCUUGGCCGAGCUCGGUCGCUACGUAACGACCGAGCGGGACAGACUCUCGGGCUCAGUCGCUACGUAGCGACCGAGC